UCAGUACGAAAACUGCAUCCCAGUCUCCUACUAAAUAAGUGUUAUUUAAAAAACACCUGUUUGUAUAAACAUUUUGAAUUACCCUAAUAUUAAAAUGAUACAGGAGUGAAAGGUUAUUAAUUCAUUAAAUCAGAAAUUAGCCUUAUGUAAUUAUGUGAUACUUAUGUGUUAUCUGGUUGGUGGUGGUGAUGGUGGUGAUUUAGUCGCUAAGUCAUCUCGGACUCUUGCGACCCCAUGGGCUGUAGCCCGCCAAGCGCCUCUGUCCUUGGGAUUCUCCAGGCAAGAAUAUUGGAGUGGAUUGCCAUUUCCUUCUCUAGGGGAUCUUCCCACCCAGGAAUUGAACCUGGGUUUCCUGCAUUGCAGGCAGAUUCUUUACCAACUGAGCUGUGAGGUAAUCCCUCUGGUUGGUGGUAGAUAUUAAUAAAUAAACUUCUGGCCAACUAAAUGAACACAUUGGUUAAAUCUGCAUAGAAAUGCCUAGUUUUAAAAAUUAACUACUAUGAAAAUGUUGUGUAUUAAACUCUCAAGUGUAGAAAAAUAGGGAAGGAAGAAUAACCUAUUUUCCUUCCCAUGGCCCUAAUUUUGUAAAAUAGACAAUCAGGGAAUCACCACAUAUAGUACUACUAGAAAAAGAGAAUUACUGUUGGAUUAAAACCUACAUUCAAAGCUCCGUCCUUCCUGGAAGAGCACAAUGUAACUAGAUCUCAUUGGAGAUAGCACUAAGGGAUUGUCAAAAUGUUUGUCACCCUGGAAUUUCCUUCUAUUGACUGUUCUUCAAAUAAAUAGACUAAGCUUAAGAUUGGAAUUCUUACGUUAGCAUAGCAAGUGAGAUAGAGUCUUAUGUAGGUUGAUCUUUCAUGAAAAAAAAGUAUUUUUACAGGUAGAAUUCAUUUUUUCUUUUUUUUAGUAUUUUAAUUUAUUAUUUACUUUUGGCUGUCUUCGGUCUUCGUUGCUGCAUGGGCUUUCUUUCGUUACAAUUGAGUGGGAGCUAUUCUCUGGUGGCAGUGUGCAGGCCUGAGGUGCUUCUCUUGUGGAGCUGGGGCUGUUGGCACACGGGUUCAGUAGUUGUGGUACAUGGGGCUAGGUGCCCUGCAGCACAUGAGGUCUUCCUGGACCAGGGCUCAAACCCAUGUCCCCUGCAUUGGCAUGUGGAUUCUUAACCACUGGACCACCAGAGAAGUCCCUAGAGUUUCUAAUGUUAUAUAUUUGAAAUAUAUAUAUAUUCUUAUUGUUUGUGAUUUAUUUCAUGCUGUUGCUUUUGUCCUAAGCCUUGGCAAAGUUAAAAUUCACCAGCAUUCCUUAUACCUAUCAAGACACAUGAUCAGAUGUUAGAUAACAAAAGAGACAGCACCAAAUUUGGUGUACAUCGAAGUGUAAACUGUCAAGAGCUGGGAACAUCUAAUAAUUAAGACUGGAGCAGUUAUGUGCAGGAGAGGGGCACUGGUGAGCCUCCUUGGAUAUACUGGAACAUUUCAUUACUGUUCUAUCCUUCACUUCCCAACAGCCGCCAAAGUCAUGAAUGCAAGCCCCAACAUUCCCCAGCAAGAAUUCCUGGCAAUACAAGGUACUGACAUGGCAAGGUGUAGCAAAAAGAGCAGUGACUUUGGAAUCAGUUCUGCCUCCAAACUCGAGCUCUGCAUAUACAAGUUGUUCAAAUUACUAAGCAUCCCUAAGCCUCAGUUUUCUCUUCUGUAAAAUGGGGGUCACGUUUCACUUGAUUGGGAAAAUUAGAUAAUGUACAAAGCAACCAGCGUGGUAUCUGACAUAGAAGUGCUUAAUAAAUAGUUGCUACUGCCGAAUGGAAGAAGAAAACCAUGCCAGGCUUGAAUAACAGUUACUUCGGGUUUGUGAGCGUCAAGCACAACCAUCUUAAGCAGAGGUAAACUGCCUAUACAGUAGAGGAAAGUAAAGCAUUAGUUGCUCCGUUGUGUCCGACUCUUUGAGGAAGCUGGCACCAUAAUUUCUGCUUUUUUACACCCAGUCCAGGAUGGCCUUUUAAAGUCACAGGUCCUUCCACUGCUGUAUCUUCUUCCUUGUGCUUAGGGGAAGGAGAAGAAAAAGAAAAAAACAUCUCACUUAAUGAAAGGAAGACUCUGCAGUGUUUUUUUAAAGCUUUACAAUUUCAGUGAAAUUGUUGGAACAUCCAAAACAUUUCAUUAAAAGGGGAAAAAAAAAAAUCUACCUGUAAACAUACGUUUAUCACCAAAGACAGAAACUUACCCAAGACUUGGGUGAAAUUAAAGGAAUUAGUCCUUGGUUGGAAGAGAAUUCCAGGCUCCAUGUAUUUCAAUUGCACAGUGAAGAUCGUGCAUUAAAUGGAGCAAACAGCAAGACCAGUUAGCUUUGGGAGAGAACGAGUGACACUUAAACAACAGUAAACUUAGCCUUUAGGUGUGCCAUUUCUUUAGAUGGAAAGAUAAUUUAUAAGAAUAAAGGAAAAUGUCAGAAGUAAUUAAGAUGAUAUUAAUAUUUAUGGGCUUCCCUGGUAGCUCAGUUGGAAAAGAAUCCACCUGCAAUGCAGGAGACCCUGGUUUGAUUCCUGGGUCGGGAAGAUCCACUGGAGAGGUGAUAGGCUACCCACUCCAAUAUUCUUGGGCUUUCCUGGUGGCUCAACUAGUAAAAAACCUGCCUGCAAUGCAGGAGACCUGGGUUCGAUCCUGGUUGGGAAGACACUGGAGAAGGGAAAGGCUACCCACUCCAGUAUUCUGGCCUGGAGAAUUCCAUGGACUAUAUAGUCCAUGGGGUUGCAAGCAGUCAGAAAGUCAGCAACUUUCACUUUAUAAUUUUAUACUCAGGACUGUGCUGGGCACCAAAGACAGUAAAUGAGGAAUUUCCCAUUGGUUGAAGACACUACUCUUAAAAGCAUGAACUAGUGUAGUGGCUGCUUAAGAGCCAAUGUAUAGUAAUAGUGGCUGCUUAAGAGCCAAGACUUCCCUGGUGGCUUAGAUGGUAAAGUGUCUGCCUGCAAUGUGGGAGACCCGGGUUCGAUCCCUAGGUUGGGAAGAUCUCCUGGAGAAGGAAAUGGCAACCCACUCCAGUAUUCUUGCCUGGAGAAUCCCACGGAUGGAGGAGCCUGGUAGGCUACAGUCCAUGGGGUCGCAAAGGGUCGGACACCACUGAGUAACUUCACCUUCACUUUCUUUCAAGAGCCAAUAUAAGUGGUGAAGGCAAGAUCAGAGGAAGGCCUGGAAGCAUCAUAAAGAUUUCACAGGGGAGGUGGGAGUCCAACAGAACCUUUAAAGAUCACAGGAUUUGAAGAUGAGAAAGAGGAAGAGCAUUAGAGGAAAUUGGAAGCCAUUGGAUAAUAGUAUAUGACACUACCAAGAUGAAAGCAGAAUUGUAGGAAGACCCAUCUGAUAACAGGAGCCAAGACCUAAGUUUUAGAGAUACCUUCUGAUGGCUGCAUAAUUCCAUUAAUACACCUAACUGUUGAGUUUAUCAAAGGAAAAAGAACCAGGAGGCAAAAACCAGGAAAAGGAACAUAGAUGGAAGAAAAAAGAAUCUCAACAACUGAGUAUAGUCAUAACUCUUGACAAGAAAAAGAAAGUUCUGCCGGUAACAAAACCUGCUAUACUAGCCAAGAGGGAAAAGGACUUGAAGGAAGAGGAAGAACACAUUUUUAAUAAUUGUUCUCAAAACAUACGAGGAUAAAAAGUAAAAGAAGUGGAGAAAUAUGCCACUCCAUGCAGGAGUCACUCUGGACAAGUGUUUCUGAGCUAUGGCCUAUAGGUCAGCCAUCAUGGCAACCAAAGGAGAAUGUAAUUACAAAUGAGGACCUGGGAGGAAUCUCUAAGAUGGUUCCCACAAAGGGUACAGUGGAGAAAAAAAAAUCUAUGCAAAUGAAGAAAGGCAACACUGGAACCUCAUGAGAGCAGAGAAGAAGAAAAAGGAGGUGACAGUGGGAAUGAAGAUGAGGCGGGAGAGGAGGAGAUAGUGGAGUAAUGUCUUAAUGCCUGGUGAUAAAU